rnacentral:rRNA from 1 species
CAGUCGCCACGGUAAUACGUAGGGUGCAAGCGUUAAUCGGAAUUACUGGGCGUAAAGCGUGCGCAGGCGGUUAUAUAAGACAGAUGUGAAAUCCCCGGGCUCAACCUGGGAACUGCAUUUGUGACUGUAUAGCUAGAGUACGGCAGAGGGGGAUGGAAUUCCGCGUGUAGCAGUGAAAUGCGUAGAUAUGCGGAGGAACACCGAUGGCGAAGGCAAUCCCCUGGGCCUGUACUGACGCUCAUGCACGAAAGCGUGGGGAGCAAACAGGAUUAGAUACCCCGGUAGUCCCUGUCUCUUAUAA